UCACGCGAGACUUUGUCGUGAAGUGCGGGGGGCACUUGAAAAAUGGCUGCUAGCUGUUGUGGUGUGAAGAAACAAAAGCUAAACAACUCUCUGCCGUCGAUAUGUUGCAACGGAUCUGCGGUUCAUCCAAACUUUCACAAGAAUUCCUAUUCUGUGGCUUUACCUGAUAUGUGUUUCUUUUGUUUUGACGUCCUUCAUAGCCAUUUGUUUAACUAUGAACUGGGGAAGGCAGCACCUCGAUUCACCAAUGAACCAUAUCCCCUCUUUGUGACAUGGAAAAUGGGUAGGGAUCGACGUCUUCGUGGAUGCAUUGGCACUUUCUCACCCACUAACCUUCACAAUGGCCUCAGGGAGUAUGCUGUCACCAGUGCAAUGAAAGACAGCCGUUUUGAUCCCAUCACGAAAGAGGAAUUCUCUAAGCUUCAUUGUUCCGUAUCGAUCCUCACCCAUUUUGAAGAGGCUCGCGACUAUCUUGAUUGGGAGGUUGGAGGUAAUGGAAUCCGCAUUGAAUUUGUGAAUGAGAAGGGACAUAAAAAGACAGCUACCUAUCUUCCAGAGGUGGCCACAGAGCAGGGAUGGGACCGAAUACAGACCAUUGACUCUUUGCUAAGAAAGGGAGGCUUUAAGGGACCAAUCACACCAGAGGUGCGGAAGGCUAUACGACUGACUCGCUACCGUAGUGAAAAGAUCACGGUCAGCUAUAGUGACUACGUAGCACAGAAGACCAAUGGACAUGCAUGAUGAUUGUUAAACGCAGUCUUUUCCUGGGCAGCAGGCUUUUUUUUUAAUAUGCCACGGAUUAUGUAAGUUUAGUGUAUGAUUGUGAAAUGUGUCACCAGCAAAUGCCAUCCAAAGGUUUUACUGAUUCCUUCACCAUCACCAUCAUGACGUCUAUCUGCUUGCUUUACGCCUUACUACAACAUAAUUUUGCACCAUGUUUGAGAUGAAGAUCAUUUUGGUUGAUUAAAUGGAGACUGAGCUUAUUUGUACAGGUACCAGGAUAAUGGAAGUUCUGAGAAAAUCUACAGAAGAGUCUCCAUUUCAUGAAAAAUCUGUGAAUGUCUUGAAAAAAAAUCCAAAAUUUUGAUGGUAGUGAAGCAUUACAUUUGUGGUUGUAAGAAGUAAAUGUAAAUUUUUUUUAAAUCACAAGUUAAGAUAGUUAUUAGCAUUUUAUAAAUAUUUCCAUGGUGGAUCUUUGGACUCCCAUUCAUGGAGAUAAUUUUCCACAGAUCUCUGUCAUGAUUUUUGCCAUUUGUCACUGCAAUCUUAUAUUGCAAUCUUUCUAUUUAAGAGUCACAUAUGGACACAUGAAAUGGUAAGAAUUUUUUAUUUCAUGUUUUUUUUAUUUUUAAAAAGCAUAUGGGGGGAGGCCUGACAGAAGCUCUGUACUCCAGAGCAGAAUGCUGCCUUUUUGAAGCUUGCACAGUAAAACCUCCUUUUUAAGACUCACUAAAACCACCAAAAUUGGGUCGUAACUUAGAGGGGUCACAGUAGGGAGAUCAACCAGGCUGCUUAAGUUAAUUGAGAAACAGUGCCCUUGAAAACCAUGUCUUACUGUGUUGUUGGUUUUUUUUUGUUGUUGUUUUUUGUCAUUUUUGCGUUCACUUGGUCAUGCUUAUUUUGCCAUUCUUAGACUGUACUGGAGAUUUCUUAGGGGAACUAACUCUGCAGGUAAGAGAAAUUAAUACAUAUUACCCUAGCAGACAAAGAUGCUCUCUUAAAAAUGCACUAUUUAUAUUUUUGAUCAUGAUUUCUUAAAAAAUUCACAGUAAAGCGUAGUCACAAUAAUUUUAUUUUUAUAGACACAUGGCAUCUAGAUUGUUAAUGAAGCACAAUUGACUCAUGUGUUGGUUAAGAGACUACAAUAACUAGGCUGGGAGACUGGAGAGGCAGUCAUUUCAACCCAAAACUUCAGCUAUAUCGACCUAAGUCAAAUCGACUCCGUCAAAACCAUAUUGUCCUGUUAAAUCACAUCAUCAUAACACUGAAAGUCACAUCGACCAGGCACCUAGGCCACCUGACUGUCUGCAUAUGCAUUUAAUAAGAAUCUUCAGAAAGAAUAAUGAUGACAAAGGCAUUUCAAAAAAAUGGAUCUAAGAGGAAAUGGUGUUUAGGUGUCAUUGUGAGAUUUUAACUAAACAUUGGAGAUACAUUUAAUAAGAAACCUGCAAACUAAAGAAUAUAUAAUGAAUACAAAGGCUUUAAAAAACGAUUUAAAAGAAAAUUGUGGUAUGUGCCAUUGAUUUGUGAUUUGAUUUCUGAAUGUGUAUUGCAGGACAGUCAUUUUGUUAAGUAUGGUGGUAGCUGAACUUGUUCAAAUAACAUAUGGCUUUGUUGAUAAAAUGUGGCAUUAAUAGCUACUCAUGUCAUUGGAGAUCAAUUCGUCUUUUGAGUCUGGAUGGAUUCGACUUUCGGUGUUGGGACGAUAUGGUAGCUAUGACUGAAGCGAUAUGGUUUAGGUUGAAAUGACCGGUAAUCCAAUGAAUAAUCAGUCUCUUUCAAACUGUACUUAUUUUUGCUAAUAUCUGCAGAAAAUCUUAAUACAGGGUUAGCGGCUGGCCAGAAGAAUCUAUUUUAAAAUGUGCCUAAUUUGUUUUCAAAGUGUAACUUUUGCAGGAAAGUCUUAACAGAUUACCGACUGUCAGUUUAAGGAGUUACUAGAUGAUGUUUAUAUAGCAAAAUACGUCCGUGAAAAUUUUUUGGGUCUUGACUAGGAGGGAGUUGUAAUCAGGAAGGUUUUAAUAAAGAGGUUUUACUGUACCUGAUUUAUCAGGAAGAGGUAGAAGGCAGCAAAAUGAUAGCUUAAAGAUCUACUUUCCAUAUGCCAUACCUUUCACGUGGUGAAUCACUUACAGUUUACUGCCCUUACAGGUUCUUGGCUACGAGACCCUUUAAAAGGAGGAUGCGAUUUCAUUUUUGUACUUUCUGCAGUUUGACAAAUGCAUGCAGAAUGUGUGUGGGCAAAAUCUGUCCUUAAAACUUUUGUCACUCUUGUCCUGUUUUUAUCCUGUAAUCAGGGGUCAGGUAUGUAGGAGUUACUUGUUUGUAAAUGUAAUGGAUUCUUUGUCAGAUUUCUAUUAAUUUUCAUAUCUGAUCUGUUUCCUUCACUUAAGUCUGUUACAUUUGAUGUUUCAUUUCAAUUAAUAGUGUGCAUGUGUUAUGUAUACCUGCAUAUGCCUACACAUUUGCAACUGUCCAUUUUAACCACAUCCUCAUGCAUUUGAAAAAAUUAGGCUUUAUAUUGUUUGUGACUGUUUGAUGACUUCAGGAACUUUUGUGGUGUAAGUGAAUAUACCUACCACCAACCCUUUUACCCCAACGCCACCCCACCAUUUCUAAAUUUAAACACAAUACUUUCAAAAGGAGAAUAUAAGAUGGCUCACAUCAUGUAAGGCUUUGAGAAACAAGCAGUUCACUCUAUUGAUGAUAUUUUAUAACCUCCCCUAAGGCUUUUUUGAGAAAAUACUGAGAUUCUUUAAACGUUUUUCAAGGAAAUAAAAUUGAUAAUAGGUUUGAAUUCAAAAGAAGGUUAGUUUUAAAAAGCUUUACUGGUGACUAGGUUAAAGGUCAUAUGACUCCUUUUUAACACCUUAAAUGCAGAUUUACAAAAAGAAAAGAGGGUUCCAAUAAAUAUUAAAAAAAAAGCUGUGGAUCAUGUUCAGAAGCUGUCAUGACCAGUUUGGUGAGCAACUUUGUGUGUGUCUCACAAACAAAGUACAGAAAAUGUCAGCUGCUGAAAGUAUAAGGUAGUGUAUAGAACAUUAUUGUCAUAUUGCUGAAGGCAGAUGACCUCAGCUUUAUUUCAUAAAUCAUCAAAAAUGCAAUAUUAUUAGUAUGCUACCCCAAACUCAUUCCAAAUAUGAGGUGAAGUAAGAAAUACCCUAGAAAAACAAAGAUUUCUGAUCAAAGCCCAAGACUUAAAUAAAAAACAGAGUUACAUGAGUAGGAAAAUAGUUAUGAAACCAGUCAGCUUAUUUUUUUCUAUUUUCAUAAAUUCAAAGUAUGGCAGAAGUAUUUAUUGAUAUCAAUAUGUGUAUACGUGUGUGUGAUAGUGAAAAAUGGCUGAAUUCUUUCAUGAAGACUUGCAAGAACAUUAAACACUAAACAGUAGUAUACAAUGAAACUAUAUCUGAAUAUCUUAAUGAACUGUAGUACUGGCAAAGAAAUGAAGGAAUGACAUACAGUCACAGCAAUAAUGUUACAUAUCCAUAAACCCCUAAAAAAUAAAUAAUAGAAAUCCACAAACACAAAAUAAGAGAUGCCACACAUUUACUUAAAAGGAAAGGUUGAACAACUGUGCUGAUAGAAUGGAAUGUUAAAUGUUGGUGUGCCAGUAUACUAUAAGAGGUGGGUUUUUUUUUUUUUUUUUUUGUAACCUGUUACUGAAACUUGGAACAAUGCUUUAUGAUGAUAAAGUCAAUAGCAGCCAGUUGUAUGAUCUUGAAGGAUUUUGGUGGGUAGUAUGAAAAGAUAUUUUUUAUUGAAAAGCUUAGGAUUGUUUCUAUCUUUGCUACCAUCAUUGUUACGAGAAAUACCUCGGACCAUCAGUGAUACAAGAAGGUCAAAGCCAGCUGAAUUCAUGUGAUUUUAAGAUGUCUAAAAUUGUUUGUUUAUAAUGUUUUAAGUCUGGUCUUGGAUGUAUUUGCAUGCAUACUUUGAUGUGUUUGCGCCACCUGGGGAAGUCUGGUGCCGCAGCAGUUAGCACCUGUCGCCAUUACAGUAAAGAUUGACUGUCCUGGGUUCAGCUUUCAUCGCGGACACGCUGUUCUUUCUCUGCAUUUAGCAUAUUUUUACAGGGCUGGCUGCCUUGCCGUGAUAUAGCCUUAAUGGCUGGCUCAGUGUAAAACACCAAUCUUCCCGCAUGAGGACCUGAACAUAGUUGGUAGAUGCUAGGAGUUGCUGUGGCAUAAUUUAUGGAGUCAGUGAGUUUCAGUUUGCUGAUACAAGCACUAUAAGAAUUAGAACAGAGUUUUGUGUAGGCAAAGAGCUUAGUGGUUGCUCAUGCACCUUUUAAAAUUGAAAUUAUCCUAUAACAUAAUGGGAGAUAUUGAAACAAAACAAAAUUCGUGGGGUGAGUAAUGGCAUAUGUCUGUUACAUCGUGACACGCUGAUAUUACAUUUUACUUUUCUAUGCUGCCAGUGUUCAUUUUUGCAUUCAUGUCCCUCAAAAAGUAGUCUUCAACUAUGGAAAAAAUUGGUACAUUUAGAUGUUUGACCACAGUGAUGUUUUCCUGAGCAAAGAUUGGAUUUCUCCAUUGCACACACAUUUGAUGUGAUAAGCCAUUCUGUGUUGUAGAUUUUUUUUAAAUGUAUGGUUUUUUUUAAAAACGUUUUUAAAUGGAUGUGUGUAUGUGGGAUAAAUGUAUAGCCUUGUGGUCAUUGCCAUAUGAUGCAGUCCUGGCAGCACACUUGAAGGCAACUUUUUUUGAUGCUGUAAAAUGUGUCACAUAUCAGUCAUUUGUUUUGAACAAUCCAAUAUUGUCGACAUGAGCUUGUUGCUGUCUUAAACUUUGGAUAAUAUGGUUCAUUUAGAGGUUGGGAGUGGUGGAAUGGGGAGAGAAGAUGGACAUGUGGAGACAACAUUGUUACAAAAUGGAAGCUCGAGAAACCCACUGAAGUAUUUAGUUAGAUCUCUUGACUGAAGACAAGGAAAAGAAUGGUUUUAGACAAGGAAAGGGUAACAUGGUAUACUUGUUUUGAAAUCACUCUCUAAUUGAAGUGCAUGCUGCAAAACGUAAAUUUACAAUGGGACCACAUAUGUGUGAUAUAGGCUAUGCAAUAUCUUUUUAAGUUAAUAGAAGGCUGCUGCCUGUCGAACUGCUACAGCUGCUAGGUCACGCUAACAAAUACAUUCUGCAUCAUUUUUUUAAUGGCUUUGUUAUGAGAUAAAAUUCUAAAGAGAGACUCAAACUAGGCUUUUAGUGUAAUAACUGACAAGGAACAAAAUUCCUGUUAUAAAAUAACUGUUGACUGAUUGGAACACAAACUUGUUCAUGUCAGGUUUAGGAUGUUUUUUUUUUAAAAUUAGGUACAUCUGACCUCUAUGACUACAGCUUGCUUAAUCUUCAUAGGUAAAUCAUUCCAGGUUGUGCUGUACUAAGUUGGCUUGUCUUUAAAAGAAAAUCUCUUAAAGAAAAAUUGCUGUACAAAAGCAGUUACUAAUCGUAGUAUUUUUCACCAAAUGCUGGACACAUUUUUUCCCUGUGAACAAUGUCUAUGCUUGAGAAAGUCUUUGUCACAAAGUUUUUAAGAUCUUAAACAUUUUUUGUCUUGAGAGGUUGUGGCCUAUAGAGCUGUGCAUCCACAUUGUAAUCAUUUUAGUGAUAAUUUAAGCAUAAGCCAUUACUGCAGCACAAAAAGAUCUGUGUGGUAAAAUACCUGUGGUCCCGACAAACUGCUGUGGAUAUUUUUGUGCAUAGUUUCCUGUUUCUGUAUGUUUGGUCAUGGUUUUUCUCUGCUGCCCAGAGGGACUGCAUUGUUACCUUUUUAGACAUUUACUAAGUGUUAAAAGAGCUGUUUGAUUGUAAAUAAAUGAGGUGUCUGGUAGGCCAACACGUUGCUUGUCUAUUCUUCAUCUUGUAGCCUUUUCACUCUCUUUCAUUUAAUAGAUGUGUAAUAUACCCUUCAAAUUUGUAGCGCUAGAGAUAACUUUCCAUGAAUGUUCACUCUUUUGAUGGUUCAUUGGUUUUCAUGGAAACAAAUAUUUCUAAAUACUGUAUUGAUACAGACACUAAAAACAAAACAAAUAAACAAAAAUAGGAAAUUGUUAGAUUUCUCCUGUUCCAUAUGAUAGCACCAUUUUCUUUAGUGUGGUCGCAGUUUGGUAUGGUUGCAAGUGAAAGGAUGUUUUCACCUGAAAAUUAUUAUGCUAUAUAAAAGAAAAUUAAGAUAAGAACAAAGUAAAAGAAAAAUCCCUCUUUUAAAGUUAAAUCUGUUCAGGCUUAAUGCUUUGUAAAAUUACACAAAUAAUUCCAGCCUGGUUCAUGGUAUAUGAGGCCUUUUUCUUUUCUUUUUUUUUUUUUUUUUGCUUUUUCAUUUCAAGUGCUAGAUUCUUCCACAUUAUUUAUGUCUUUGUGCUGUGUACUUGUGGAAGUAGAACAAACAAGGGUCUACAUAAUUUCACAAUGCAUGAAAAUGUAUCUCGAGUAAUAGAUAUUUCACCAUUUUUGCUUGAACAUCAUAUGAAAAGUGCCUGAACUAGUUACAAAUGAAUGCUUCUGGUAACAGCGUUUUGGUAGGUGCUUAGGCAUUUCAACAAACUAGAAAUACUGCAUCAGAUUGUGCAGAAACAUGACUUUCAAAACAUUGACUUCUUUGUGUUUUGGAAAUGUAUAAUGUAUUCUGUGCACGCAAACUAUCAAGUACUAGAUUGAUCAUUAUCAAGACAGUGAUUCCAUUAAGUCAUGCAUUCAAGCCACAAAGCCUGUUGACCUUAUUUGGUGCUUACUAUUUUGAGUUUGAAAACAAAACUUUUUACUACUCCAUUUUGUUCUCCUUGCUUUAAAUUUAUUCUCUUACACAUUUUUUACAAAGGCUUUAAAUAAAAUGAAAACUGUAAAUUCUCUGCUUGCAAAAGCCAUAUAUUACAAGUGUAAAAACACAGUUAAGGAGAUUUUGUGAGGAUGGAGUUUCAGGUGAAGAUGGUAGAUCAUAUAUAUUAAAAAAUUCAAAUGAGUAUGUGUGUUAUGAAUAGUAGUGUUUUUUUAUUGCAAAAUAGUUGCAAGACAUACCUCUGGACCUUUGCACUGUUGUUUGUUGGCUUCAAAGGUCCACUAAUAUUUGAUUGUCUUAGCUCCAAAACAGCACAUUUAGAAAGACUGACUCCCAUUCAUAAUCUCAGGGUGAUUUGCAUCAGAGUAAAGUUUUUCUCACUUUUUUUUAAUGUCAGCAUAUAUAUAUUUUUCAGCUUUUAUAAUUGCUCAGUUAAUUACAGCCUGUUUUCACAUUUCCAUAUACAUUCUAAGAUGAACACUAAAAUUAUUCUAGAACCAUUAAAUUCUGUCAUCUGUAACAGUUAUUAGCAUCAUGAAUAUUUCAUAUUUUACAUAGUGAUGAUAGACUUUGAACUUAACAACUGAAAUCAGUACACACUGAUUUUAGAUUUUAUACGUUAAACAAUACCUUGUAACACCAAUACUGAGCACAUAACAUUUUUAGUAGUGAAAAGACUAGUGAGAAUAAAUAUAUGCAAUGUUUGCAGAUACCCAUUUCUCUUUUUCUGUGCUCUUUCUUUUUUUUUUUAUCCUUGCAACACCAGAACUUGUUAACUAAACAUCAGGAUUUAACAGAUACAUUUUAUGUUUGAUUUUUGCACAUAUAGUUACUUGGUAAUCCUAUGGCAUAAUGGGUUAUAUAUCAAAAUUGCUUUUGCAAACAGAUUCAAAGCAAACCAAAAAAACAAAAUAAAGUCUGCUGCAAUAUGAUAUUACAUAUUAACUCUAGCCUUACAUCCUAUAGCAUCAUAAGGUGCACAACUAUGGUCUUUAUAUGUUACCUGGGCAAAAAACAGACACAUGACCAUAUGUGCUCAACCUGUAGUCAUUGCAGGAGGCUGGGGGCAAUCAUCAUCAGCCCUAUUCCUUCCUUUAGUUGGUGAUCUUCCCAAAAAAAAGUGGCUGGAAGUGGAGGCUAAGUCACAGUUGGCAGUCAUCAGUCCUAAAGUGAGUUGCUCGUUUUAAAGCAUAUGAGAAUUGUGUGAUUUUUCCGUUAUUUUGUUGCAUUUUGCAAGAAACUGCUAUGUGUUAUGAGAAAACAAAUGUAAUCUCUGUUGUGGGGUUAGCUUGAUGUUGCCACUUAGCUGGUACUGUUUCCAAGGACUAUUCACCAGUUGUACACUUUAUAUCGCCGUACCUAAUCUUUCAUUUAAUGGACUGAUUUGUGGUGUAUUUCAAUGACAUCAAGCUGUAAUCUUUUGUUGUCUUAUGAAAAGAAUUGUUGAUAUUUGACUAGAUUAUUUUGUGUGUUUUGGAAUUCAAAAUUAAUGUUGCAAUCAGAGAAAGGUCUUUGUCAAACCAUUAUAAAUAUAGUCAAUGUAUAUUGUACUGCAAAUAAAUGUAUGGGCUGGUGUGAGUGACAUACAGAUUGUAUCUAUCCUUUGUAGAAUUAUUGUAGUCUUUGAAUGAAAUAUACUAGUGUCUCAGUACCAAAGCUAAGAACAUCGAGUGAUGCAUUACUGAAUGUUAAGUGAAUAUUAUUGUAAACAGUCUUUGGGUUAUUUGAAGAGCAAGAGACUAUGCUUCUUGUUGUGAUCAUAAUUCUGUCAUCUAACUGAUGUGGUAGCAGUGUGGGAAAAAAAGCCAUAUGUCAAAAACAACAACAGGUUUUGAAUGCAUUCAUGCUAGUGUAUGUGUGCCAAAGAGACAUUUUGAACUUGCAAAGAACAGGGGCAUCAGAACUCAGAUGUCAUGCAAACAUCGUGUGAAUUGAUCAUAGAAACAUUUUUUAUGACAACAUUGAGAUAUAAAGGGUUAGCAAAAAAUGAUAGAACGCUCACAUAAUACCUACCCAAAAAUUAAUGUGGCAUGGGGACUGGUAUGUUUGGCUGUGGAGCAGGUUGGUGAUUCAAAACCUGUGACUGGAACACUGGCCUUGCCCACCCACCAUUUUUCUUAAAAUGUACCUGUCUUAUCAGGGAAGGCAAAGGCAAUGGAAAGAAAGGGUUAGGCUCUGCUUUUUUACCUACCUUCCCUAGACACAGCGAAACCAGCCACAUUUGCUGCCCUUCCGACCACUAGGUUCUGCUACCUUUAACCUUUCACACAACAUGGCACAUAUUCCUUUAUUCCCAAAUGCGCCAAAAACAACAGUUGCUGGUAGUCAUGGUCAUCGCUAUGGUUCUUCUGUUGAGGACCAGUUGCUAAGGCCAAGAUAACAAUUUGGAAAUAGUUCCAGACACAGGUGUUGGUGUACUGCAAGUUCUCACCCACCUUAAAUAUCACCAUAUACACAAUUUUAAAAAAAAGGGUUACAUAUUCCUUUGCAAACAGCAGUAUAUGACCACAGAAUACUUGCUUACAUAUGCAUUUUACUAACAAAGUUUUGAUAUGGCAAGCAAAGUGCUCCUGGAUGCUGGUGGCCUAUGUCUCUGGGUUUACUUUUGGUAACCGGCGUGCAUGACUUUGCCAGCUUUCAGAUCAUGAGAAACCCAUUAUGUUUGCAAAGUUGAGUAAGUAUUGUGUGAUAGUACUGACAGUAUAUAUUAAUGGGUCCACCAAAGUAUUAUGAUGCCUAACCUGACCAUACGAUCACAUUGUGGAGAAGUAUUCCAUCUGUCUGUCAAAUGUCCAUUUUGACAGCUUCAAAAAUCACCAUCGCAAGUUGAGCUCCCAAAACUUGAAAGUGCCCUUCAAGCUGUCAUCAUUCAUUAUGUUUAUGAAAUAGCAUAGGAUAAUAUCCCAACCCUUGAUUGUUGUAAGGGAAUUAAAUCAGUGAAAAGGGGAGAAACAACAAACAAAAUCAUAAUAUUGCAUCCUAAUAUCUGUACAUGCAAUGUGUAUUUACACUGAGAUUGUCAUUUUUCUUUUAUUUUGUCAACUUUUGAACCGUGUUUUGUUGUACUACAUCAAUUGAUAUAGUAGAGGCAAUAAAUAUAUUUCAGCUGA